rnacentral:rRNA from 1 species
UACGUAGGGGGGCAAGCGUUGUCCGGAUUUAUUGGGCGUAAAGAGCGUGUAGGCGGCCAUGUAGGUCCGGUGUGAAAACUCGAGGCUUAACCUCGAGAUGUCAUCGGAAACCAUUUGGCUAGAGUCCGGAAGAGGAGAGUGGAAUUCCUGGUGUAGCGGUGAAAUGCGCAGAUAUCAGGAAGAACACCAAUGGCGAAAGCAGCUCUCUGGGACGGUACUGACGCUGAGACGCGAAAGCGUGGGGAGCGAACAGG